ACCCCUUCCCAUCCCGAACAGGACCGUGAAACGAUUUUGCGCCGAUGAUAGUGCUGCAACCAGUGUGAAAGUAGGUUAUCGUCAGGC
rnacentral:rRNA from 1 species